rnacentral:rRNA from 1 species
AUUGAACGCUGGCGGCAUGCCUUACACAUGCAAGUCGAACGGUAACAGGUUAAGCUGACGAGUGGCGAACGGGUGAGUAAUGUAUCGGAACGUGCCCAGUCGCGGGGGAUAACUGCUCGAAAGAGCAGCUAAUACCGCAUACGACCUGAGGGUGAAAGCGGGGGAUCGCAAGACCUCGCGCGAUUGGAGCGGCCGAUAUCAGAUUAGGUAGUUGGUAGGGUAAAGGCCUACCAAGCCGACGAUCUGUAGCUGGUCUGAGAGGACGACCAGCCACACUGGGACUGAGACACGGCCCAGACGCCUACGGGAGGCAGCAGUGGGGAAUUUUGGACAAUGGACGCAAGUCUGAUCCAGCCAUGCCGCGUGCGGGAAGAAGGCCUUCGGGUUGUAAACCGCUUUUGUCAGGGAAGAAACGCUCUGGGUUAAUACCUCGGGGUAAUGACGGUACCUGAAGAAUAAGCACCGGCUAACUACGUGCCAGCCGCCGCGGUAA